rnacentral:tRNA from 1 species
GCGCCCAUAGCUCAGUUGGAUAGAGCAUCGGCCUUCUAAGCCGAGGGUCCCAGGUUCGAUUCCUGGUGGGCGCG